GCCCCCCCAAUGGAGGAGACCUCCGCCUUCCUUUGUUCUCUUCCCUCAUGUAGGCACACACGCAGGAGAAAGUGUGUGAGAGAAAAUCUCAACUGUAAGCCACAAAGCAUUCACACAGUUUGACAGAAAAAUUGGUGCCAGACAUGUGAAGUCACAGGGCGAUUCUGAGCUGAGAAUAAAAUGCACGGCAUUCCCCAGGGACAGACGCAACGUUCUGGGUUCUGAGGACUAAGAGCCCUGAUAAUGUGCACCUGCUGCGAGAAGGCGCGUGCGGGAGGGAGCGGAGCGUGAGCCGCGUCUCCAAGGGACCACUUUAGUGACUCAGUAGGAGCACCUGGGGAAGGUGAAGGGGCCAGAGCCUCGGCUUGUUCUCUGCUUCCCCUCUGUGCGCUUGCGCCUGCCCCCAAUUCCUGCCGGUCCCACCUGAACAGUAGGACUCAGAAACGGGCAGUGUGACUUGCGAAGUCUCCAGACGUUAGCAGUGGACGCUGACUCAGCUUCUACAGCUUCCGGCACUUUUCCUGAGGGGCUGGGAGACAGAGCCCUUAAACAAAUGCCCCUCCUCAGGCAAAGCCAUCAGCUGGGCGUACUUUUUUGUGGGGAAGGGUGUAAUUUAGAGACCCUGUCCUCAGCUUGCUAUGCUGAGGGGGUGAGACAGGCAUCUUGCUGUUCAGGCCGCAGCAGCCCGGAGCCUCGGCAGCCGCGCACCUCCCCGCUGCCCACUCGUAAAACAACAGUUUGCUCACACUCAGGGCAGGGAGUCCACUGUGAGCCGCCCCUGGGGUUUCUGCACAUUCAGUUCUGCCUCGGCGCCACCCACCCUCCCGUCGCCGCUAGUCACAGCUGUUUUCUUUUUUCUUUCCAUCCUACGAGGGAAGCCCACAUUCCAGCGUGGAGAGCAAUGUGGUGAUAGCCACGCACUGCUGUCGUCUCGUAAGGCUGGGCUGUCACUCCAGUGACAUGGAGUCUGGAGCACUGUCUGCUCAAAGAGUCCCCUUCUCUCGAGACACACAUGUGGGAUGUGGAGUUGCAGCGUGGGGCUAAAGGAACAUUACGUGAAGCCAGCCAUUUCCUUUUUUUCUUUUGAGGAAGAUUAGCCCUGAGCUGACUGCUGCCAAUCCUCCUCUUUUUUCUUUGGAGGACUGGCCCUGAGCUAACAUCCAUGCCCAUCUUCCUCUACUUUAUAUGUGGGACACCUAGCAUAGCAUGGCUUGCCGAGUGGUGCCAUGUCCCCACCUGGGAUCUGAACCGGCAAACCGUGGGCUGCCGAAGUGGAACAUGCGCACUUAACUGCUGUGCCACCAGGCCGGCCCUGGCCAUUUCCUUUUAGAGCAAUUAGAUUACUGAUCAUAAUUCCUGAGAAAUAAAAGCAGAUCUUUCUGGCCAGGAAUUACUUGAUUGUGAAGCAUCAGAAUAAGAAAAUUGCUUUGAAAGACUUAAAUAAUCAUGUGGAGAUUGUAAGAGGCCCAUGCGUGUCAUCAUCUCCAAGGCCACGUGACACUGUUAAAGCCAACACAUUUAUUUUACAUCUAUGUGAUCAGGCCUGUUUUCUCCUCUGUCCCCAUCCUACUAUCCAUAUGGGGACAAAUUCCCCAUCUGUGCCUUCCUUUCAUUCUUCAUGGUUGAGAUUUUAAUUUCAAUGAUUAUAAAAAUUUGAUAGUGCGUUUUACUUUUGAGAGCACUUUCACCUUUUCUCACAACACUGAGAGCUAGGACGAUAUGCAUCCUACACAUUUUGCAAGUAGAAGAAGAGCACGGGCCUUAUGGCAAUUGCUUUCCCCUGAGAUGCCAUCUCCGCUUUAAUGUCUCGUGGUCAGUCAACUUCCCAUGGCAAGGCCAGCGUCCUACUUCCCCAUCUCUUUCUUAGACCUGUCCUCUUCUAAAGUCUUCCCCAGUCAUUACCAUAUCAACAGAUGGAAACUCCAUCCUUCCGGUUUCCCAGGCCGCACACUCUGGAGUCACCUUCAAUUUCUCUUUUCUCCUACUGUCUACGAUUCUGCAUCAGCAGAUGUCAUGGACUUCACAUUCAAAAUAUAGCCAGGGGCCUAGCCCUUCUCACCAUUGCCAAUGCUGCCAUUUUAAUUCUGGGCACCAAAAUCUCUUGCCUAUAUUAUUGCAGUAGCUUCCUAACUGCUCCUUUUGUCCUCAACUCCUCCUGUCCCGCAAUCUAGACUCAACAUAGCAGCCGAGUGAUUUUUUUUCAAAAUAUACUUCUGUUGCUCCUUUGCUCAAAACCCUCCAAAGCCUUGCAGUUACUGUGGCCUAUAAGGGCGUCUUGAUCAGGGCCACCUCUCUCUGAUCCCUGCUUCCCUCUUGCUCAUUCUGUUCCCACCACCCUGCCUUCUUGUUAUUUCAUAAACAUGUCAAACAAGGUUUUGCCUUAGAGCCUUUGCGUGUGCGGUUCUUUCUGCCUGGAGUGGAUUCUCUCGGAUAUAUCUCCUAGAUAUCUCUUAUGUUUAUUUGUGAGGCCUUCUUUGACUACCCUGUAUGAAAUAACAACUCCUUUGUCCACAUUCAGCAAUUCCUAACCUCUUACACUACUUUAUUUUUUCUCCAAAGCAACCGUCACCCUCUGAAUCCUUUAUAUUUUCUU
ensembl:lncRNA